rnacentral:rRNA from 1 species
AGAUUUUUAGUUUGUUAACCCGAAACUAAGGGAGCUACUCCAAGACAGCCUAAUAAUAGGGCGCACCCGUCUCUGUUGCAAAAGAGUGGGACGAGCUUUGAGUAGAGGUGACAAACCUACCGAACUUAGUUAUAGCUGGUUCCCCAAGAAAUGAAUAGUAGUUCAGCCUCCCGGAUUCUCCCUUCACCUCAGUAUAAACACAUCCCUGAUAGCCAAAGAAGCCGAGAGAGUUAUUCAAAGGGGGUACAGCCCCUUUGAAACAAGACACAACUUUCCCAGGCGGGUAAAGAUCAUAAUAGCACAAGGUAAGUAACUCUCGUGGGCCCGAAAGCAGCCACCCCCUGAAGAAAGCGUCUAAGCUCAGAACAAUCUUACCCCUCCCCCAAUCCUGAUCAUUUAAUCUUAUCCCCCUAAACUUAUUGGGCCGUCCCAUGCCUCCAUGGGAGCGACCAUGCUAAUAUGAGUAAUAAGAGAGCCCCGGCCCUCUCCCCGCACGCAUGUAAAUCGGAAUGGACCCCCCACCGAAUAUUAACGGCCCCAAACAUAGAGGGCAGUGGCGAUAAACCGAACAACAAGAAAACCCCCCAACCACCAACCGUUAACCCAACACAGGCGUGCCCCUAGGGAAAAACUAAAAGGGGGGAGGAAGGAACUCGGCAAACACAUCAAGCCCUCGCCUGUUUACCAAAAACAUCGCCUCUUGCAAAUAAUGAAUAAGAGGUCCCGCCUGCCCUGUGACUAUAAGUUUAACGGCCGCGGUAUUUUGACCGCGCGAAA